AGGGUUCUCCAGAUCCUCCAAGCGCCGUCGGCGCCACCACACCAGACACGCACUGUUCACGAGGCCUCAAAGGGUGGAGGCGGUGGCCCGGGGCCGACUCCCAGGUGACCGCCAAUUUGGUCCCAAGACACUUCAGGAUCUCGAAACCGAUGGAGGACGGCGCGGUUCUAAGAGAGGGCGCCAAAGGCGACGCGCUGGCGGCAAGCUCCAAGCCAACCAGGCCCGUUGCGUCCGUCCGUCUGCAGGAACCUGUCUCUUCACCCUGCAUUGGACGCUGAGCUUCGGAGAGGAUCUGGCUGCGUGAGGAUUCAACGCCAGGGCGCCGCCUAGAGGUCGGUCGCGUCCUCGGUCUCGCUCACCGAUCAGAGCUGCUUGUCCAAGCCACAGUGUCAGACUUAAACAAAACAAAAUUCCUGCUUGGGUUAGGGACUUGGCUUCUGGGACCGUUGACUUAUCAGAAACCUGCCUCCUUUCUACUUCAUAAUGAACCCCCAGGAAGAGAGAGGGACCAGGGAUCUCAAAGAAAUAUUUGUCCUGGUGACACUGACUAGAUGGGAGAAAAGAGUCUCAACGUGUCAGUUUCUUUUAAGGAUCUUAGAUUCUGUGUCUAGGUCUGCACUGGUUCGUCUUACUACCCAGAUUGCUCAGCCUUACCUCCUUCACCCGUUCAUGCCAGCCAGGUUCAAGAAGAAAAGGGGUUAUGGAAAAGUUACCCUUUUCUCUUAUAGAUCCAUUACAAGAUUUCUAGAUAAUUUGAAGAUGGAUAUGUUUUGGAAAAGAAUUUGGAAAACAUCUGGGGGGGGCGGUGAUAGGAAAAAAUUGCCCAAAUAGCCUUUACUUACUAAGUAACCUCCCACUGGUGUCUCAGCAAUAGUCAAGGGGGUACUUGAAGACACACCAGUAGCCCUGCCCAGGGAAGUCUGUGUUGAGCAUUUGAAAGCUGAUUUUUGAGAUAAGGAUGACCUUGGAAGGAAAUAGCUUGGCAUCUGACCAACAGGAUUGAGGUGUCCUUAAAGUCCAUGCAGGCUUCUUUUUGAGACUGAGAUCAAAAGCCUGAGUUGUGGAGCUGCAGAGCCUCCUGAGAAUGCGCACAAGGUUGCUGAGCUAAGGUUGUAGACUCUUCUGGUUUUCCAAAGAGUCCCUGUCUCCAGACUUGGAGCUACAGAGACCAGGCGGGCAGUGGGCUGGGAGCCAGCACACUGAUCUUGAGCCAUGGCUGACGGUGACCAGGCAGCUCUAUUGGAGAUAGAAAAAUAAUAGUUUUGAGUAGCUGAGGACCAUUGGCCCACUCUGUCCUUCUUCCUCCCUCUCCUGUCUUCUAGAGAAAAAUGCUAUUAGAAGGUGUCACGGUGUCACCACGGUGUUUCCAAUAGAAAUGGAGAAUGACCAAAGGAAGGGAGCACACAGUGAGGUUACAUGAUGGGCAGAGCUGGAGGGGCUCCCCCAUGUCAUUUUGGGAAACAAAUAUUCCAUGGGUAUAAGGUACUUCCUGUCCCAGAUGCUUUUUCCUCUUGGUGCCAGGUCCUCCCACAGGAUGGACUAAGACACUACUGCUCACCGCUGGCCAAUCUUUGGCAGAAUGAGACUGCCAGUUCAGCUUUUUAUAUUUUUUUACUAGGAGACAGCUUGGUAUUUUCUGAGAUCUCUUUAAAAAAAAAAAAACUAUCUGUAUUUUUUAAUCUCCAGAGGAGGGAGACUUGGCAGCACUUCCUGGAUGGAGGAAUGAGUUGGCUAGGUUGAUGCUGCACCUGUGUGUCUGUGGGGCAGGGGACCCCUCCUGGGUCUGCAGCUGAGUCUCAGCCCAGUACCUGAGCUGAGCCUGAGAUUAUCUUGGCCUUUUGAGGGUAUUUUAGACCUGAAGCUUUGGUGUUUGGUGAUGAAUAAUUGGGGGUACAGGGAAUCCCUUUGCUGUCCCCCUAAAUCUCAUAAUCAUGUACACAAAGAGGGUCAGAAGCACUAUCAUGGCUCCUGGUUCUCUGGAGUUCCCGGAGAAAGAGAAUUUUUUUUCUCUUAGUUUUGCGAUGCAGUGCUCUGGUAGAACAAAUCCGGAUUCCACAAAAUUGUGGAGGGGGGGGGGAAGCAAACUGCCCAUGAUGGAAGGCAGUGGCAACUGGAGGUCCACUGGUUGCUUUGAUUUGGUUUUGAAGCCUUUAAAAGAAAGGGAGAGAAGCAAGCGGUGAGACAAGGAGCACCACUGUGCUGUCACUUGUGCUUUGUAUGCGGGACAAGGAGAUCCCCCGAGGGUUUCACCUCUGGAGCGGCUCACUGCUCAGCCCCCUUCAAGCCCUGAGAGUUUUCCAAGUCUUAUACCCUGUCCCAUUCUAACAAGUACCUGGCAAUAAACGGGCGGGGCAGGACAAAGGUCUGGAAGGAAGAAAGCAGCGGAAAACCCUAAACCCCCGCAUCAAGCAGAUAGCAGAUCAUCCGGGCUUGUAGCGAGGAGUACAGGGCGCCCAGCUCUGCCUAGGCAGGUUGCUACAAGGGCCGCAUCCAGAGCCCUUGGCUGGGCUCUGGGCUCUAGGAACCCAGGUUAGGUGUCCGCAGGCUUCCAGUCCUGGCCACGGAGCUACAGAGAAAGGCACCGAGGCCCGGGAGACUUCUCUCCACGCGGGCAGAAUCUGCAAGCUCCUUAGCCUCAUAAAUUGUUCUCUUUUCUUUAUACCCGCCCCGGGUCCGUGUUUCUUUUCAGGACAAGAGGGGAUAUAAACUGUUUGAAGUUCAUCAGCACGGUGAAGUUUUAUUGUAUUUCCUCCGGUCCCUAAGAUUUACACCCUGAAAAAGAAACCGGCAGCCAGGCAGACUCCCUUCUUACCUCCGAGUUUCCACACCGGGGGGACACACACACACACGUGGCCAAGUGGACACUUGCCUUCAGGAGCAGAGAGGGAGGGAACCGGCUCCAACCGACUCUCCCUCACGGGCUCAGGUAAGUUUCUCAAGUCUAAGAGGCCUCUGACAGUUAUGGCAUCAACUGAGUCACAACCUGUGAGGAUGUGCAAAGUGACUUUGUAGGGAUGGAAGAGAGCGGGAGACAAGGAUGUAGCAGACUAGAGGAAGCAAACUUGUUCUAGGCCUUUCCCCAGCCAGGUCCCCAACAUCUCCACUUCUUUGUAGAAGCGGAAGAGUGGCCUACCUGGGGCGAAACCAGAGUCCUAUCGUUUGUCAGCAGAGUGACUGUUUCAGCCUUACUGUUGUGCCUUCUCACCGGUGCCUUCUAACCCAGACUU
ensembl:lincRNA predicted gene 53